AUGGUAAAACUGCUGAAGGUGAAUCCGGAGGCCUUGCAGACGAGGCUGAGCCCUCCUCCAGGCGUCUGGAUGGAUCUCAUAAGAACACAAGAGGACCCGACCUCCUCCACCUACAGCUUUACCACCAUCAGCCCUCGCACCUCCUUCGUGCUCCUCUUGGCUGCUUCUCGAUGGCUGAUGGCGGCCGUGACGUUGGACGUGUCCGGGGGCGGCCUCCAGACACCCGGAGGAAGCCUCACCCUCAUCUGCAAGGGCUCCGGAUUCACCUUCAGCAGUUAUGCCAUGCAGUGGGUGCGCCAGGCACCCGGCAAGGGGCUGGAAUACGUCGCAGGUAUUGGCAGCUCUGAUAGUAGCACAGCAUACGGGGCGGCGGUGAAGGGCCGUGCCACCAUCUCGUUGGAUAAUGGGCAGAGCACAGCGAGGCUGCAGCUGAACAGCCUCAAGGCUGAGGACAGCGCCACCUACUUCUGCUGGACACUUGGUGCUGUUGGUAGUGGUGCUGAUGCUUAUCGUAUCGACGCCGCUCCUGGAUUUCGUGCUGUCACCUUGAGCCCAGACUGA